GAUCAUGGCUCAGGAUGAACGCUAGCUACAGGCUUAACACAUGCAAGUCGAGGGGAAACGGUAUUGGAAGCUUGCUUCCGAUAGGCGUCGACCGGCGCACGGGUGAGUAACGCGUAUCCAACCUGCCCAUCACUUGGGGAUAACCUUGCGAAAGUAAGACUAAUACCCAAUGAUAUCUCUAGAAGACAUCUGAAGGAGAUUAAAGAUUUAUCGGUGAUGGAUGGGGAUGCGU
rnacentral:rRNA from 1 species